AUACCCUAUUAUUUUUAGUAUAAAGUGAAUUAGAAACUAGAGUAAUAUUAGUUAUGAUCUUGAAACUUAAAGAAUUUGGCGGUAUUACAGUCUUUUUAGAGGAAUCUGUUAUGUAAUCGAUAGUCCACGUUGAACCUUACUUAUUUUAUUUCUUGUAUACCGCUGUUUAUGAUUAUAUUUGAAAAUAAUAUUCGAGAUAGAUAAGUAAUUAAUAUUUCAAGUCAAGGUGCAGUUAUUUAUAAGUUGAAUAAUGGAUUACAAUAAGUUGAAUUUAAACGGAUUAUUUUUGUAAGGAAAUUUGAAGGUGGAUUUAAUUGUAAUUUUUUAAAGAUUGUUUAAAUGAUUAUAGCUCUGUAAUAUGUACACAUCGCCC
rnacentral:rRNA from 1 species